AUCUUCAAAGGCAACCCCAGGUAGAGCACAUUACAGUAAUCCAAGCGAGAGAUGAUGAGGACAUGAGUUACUGUUGCCAGGGCCUCACAGUUGAGAUAGGGCCACAACUGGCAAACCAGGCGAAGCUGGGCAAAGGCACCUCUAGCCACAGCCUCCACCUGCUGCUUGAACAGGAGCUGUGAGUCCAAGAGAACCCUCCUCCCAAGUCACAGACCACCUCCUUCAGCUAAACAUUGUGCCGGGAAAGAUGCAUCCAGACAGAAAUCAACAGGUGGCGCUUCCCUACCCAUGCAAGGUGCAUUCUGACAUUAUACUGUACAUAGUAUACAACAAACGGACUGUUCAGAUAAUGUGACAUGCAGUAGAUAUACUUUCUCACAAAACCAGGUUGUGGUAUUAAGUGCUACAGUGCUAUGUGAGAUAUGAUGAUGCCAUGGAUGCUGGUAAAGAAAAUCAUAUGGAUCCCUAUUGACAAUUGGAUUAAACAGCUGAGUGGAUAAAUCAGGUCAAGGAACAAGGCCAAAGAAGGAACGUGGUGCUAAGAAGCAGUAGCACAAAUCAGGAACAAAGGAGCACUGAUCAGCAUAUAAACAUUGCAAAUGUCUAUCAAGGCGAGAUUUCUUUGGGUAAUGAGCCUGAUACUACCACUGAAGCAAAUCUUGA